UUAACUCAAAUUUGUAUGGAGAUGAAAUGUUUGCUUACGUUUAUCGCUAGGGGCGCUGUUUCAACUGCAUACCAUUACCGAUC
rnacentral:pre_miRNA from 1 species